rnacentral:misc_RNA from 1 species
UGGACUAGACAACAGCGGACCGUCCUGGAAACAGGACUUUCCCUUCGGGGACCGCUGGUUCAGGUGCUGCAUGGCUGUCGUCAGCUCGUGCCGUGAGGUGUUGGGUUAAGUCCCGCAACGAGCGCAACCCUCGUCCUUAGUUGCCACCAUUGAGUUGGGCACUCUAAGGAGACUGCCGGCGUUAAGCCGGAGGAAGGUGGGGAUGACGUGUCGUUACCUUA